GUCCCAUUCACGAAGAUGCAGAUAAAGCAGCAGUUGGCCUCCAUCAUCAACGACUCCGAUAGCACUUCUCGAAUUUGAAUUUAAAUCAUCCGUAGCAAGACUUGUGGCAGUGCCAUCUAAAAUCAAAACAUUUUUUUUUUAAGUUUAGAGAUAUCUCACAAACACAAAUAACAAAUUAGAGAAUCAGUCAACUUUAUGCUCAUACAUUAUUGAAACCGUAUAUCGAUA
rnacentral:lncRNA from 1 species